AUUAAGAUAAGAUAAGGUCCAUAAGGAUACAUGAUAUGAAAGAAACCUAAUAAUAAACAACUUUGAUUUCAAUUAUUGAAGGGUCUAUAAACUACAAAGACCUACUAUAUAACAUAUAUACCAUAUCUCUAUACCAAAUCAAAACUGGACAGCCUAUUAGCAUAGAAUAACUUAAAAUAAAAUAAUUGGAACAAGAAUAACUUAAAAUUACGAACCUUAGCUAUGAAGGGUAGGGAAGGCUUUGAUAUGGUGGUUGUGGCUGCCCAGCAAUUUGCUUGUAUAAUUGCGUAACAUCCUUUAAUUUUCAGCGAGUGUCCACUUUCAAUGCACGAGUCUUAAAUACAUUUCUAUAUCUAGA